rnacentral:lncRNA from 1 species
GAAGAUUUCUGCUUUGCCCGCUGGUUCCCUGUUAAGCUCUGCCAACAGGGGGCGCCGCAGGGAGAGUGAAGGGCUAGAGGAGAAAGACCUGUGCUUUCUGGAAGCUUCCUAUCUGCUACUUAUGCCCUGAACAUCACUCUGGAGAUGCUACCUCAGCCUGCUAGUAGCAGUUCACUCCCAUAGCAGCAAGUGAAUCCAGUCUGUAGUUGUUUUAACAUUGAGAACCCGCUUCAUCACGCUCCACCUCAAAAACACCAGCUUCAGACGGCUAGGCUGCCUUCAGAGAUCUGGGCUUCAGGAAACAAGGCGAUUUGCUUUUCAAUACAUUGCAUAACAUCUGCUCUAAAGGAAGUGAGGGAGAGAAGCACAAGCCGGAGGAAAAGACAGCCCUGCAAAGUCGUAGGACCCCGGAUCUGAAGGGCAAAAGCUGAAGGAUUAUAUUUCCACGCUCAAAGAACAGGGCCAUGAAUCUAAUGUUGGCCAAGAUUCCUAUACUUGACAGAGGUACCAGUUCAUCACAGCAACUUAUAUAACCUUGAAACACAGUAAGCAUGUUCUUUGUUGUCUUUUGUGUGUGUGUGUGUGAGAGAGAAAGAUUUGCCCUGACCUAACAUCCAUUGCCAAUUCUCCUCUUUUUUGCUUGAGGAAGAUUAGCCCUGAGCUAACAUCUGUG